AUGAGCUCCCGGGUCAUCAACUGGGUGGCCCUCUGGCUCCUGGGGGCAGGGUACACGGAUGCUGGCAUCAGGCAGACCCCAAGGCACAAGAUCACAAAGACAGGAGGGAACAUGACCCUGCAAUGCACCCAGUACAUGAACCAGAACUCCAUGUACUGGUACCGACAAGACCCGGGACUGGGCCUGCGGCUGAUCCACUACUCUAACAGUGUUCCUGAUACCUACAAAGGUGACAUCCCAGAUGGGUACAGUGUCUCCAGAUCAAACAAGGAGCACUUCCCCCUCACACUGGGGUCAGCUGCCCCCUCACAGACAGCUGUGUACUUCUCUGCCAGCAGUUACUCCACAGUGCUGCAUGGCCACCUCAGCCCCUCACAUUAA